CCUACGGGUGGCAGCAGUGAGGAAUAUUGGUCAAUGGGCGCGAGCCUGAACCAGCCAAGUAGCGUGAAGGAUGACUGCCCUAUGGGUUGUAAACCUCUUUUGUCAGGGAGCAACGCCGGCUACGUGUAGCCGGACUGAGAGUACCUGAAGAAAAAGCAUCGGCUAACUCCGUGCCAGCAGCCGCGGUAAUACGGAGGAUGCGAGCGUUAUCCGGAUUUAUUGGGUUUAAAGGGAGCGUAGGUGGAUUGUUAAGUCAGUUGUGAAAGUUUGCGGCUCAACCGUAAAAUUGCAGUUGAAACUGGCAGUCUUGAGUACAGUAGAGGUGGGCGGAAUUCGUGGUGUAGCGGUGAAAUGCUUAGAUAUCACGAAGAACUCCGAUUGCGAAGGCAGAUUGCUGGACAGUAACUGACGCUGAGGCGCGAAAGCGUGGGGAGCAAACAGGAUUAGAUACCCGGGUAGUC
rnacentral:rRNA from 1 species